AUUGAACGCUGGCGGCAGGCUUAACACAUGCAAGUCGAGCGGAGCGAGGGUGCUUGCACCUUAGCUUAGCGGCGGACGGGUGAGUACUGCUUAGGAAUCUGCCUAUUAGUGGGGGACGACAUUCCGAAAGGGAUGCUAAUACCGCAUACGCCCUACGGGGGAAAGCAGGGGAUCUUCGGACCUUGCGCUAAUCGAUGAGCCUAAGUCGGAUUAGCUAGUUGGUGGGGUAAAGGCCUACCAAGGCGACGAUCUGUAGCGGGUCUGAGAGGAUGAUCCGCCACACUGGGACUGAGACACGGCCCAGACUCCUACGGGAGGCAGCAGUGGGGAAUAUUGGACAAUGGGCGGAAGCCUGAUCCAGCCAUGCCGCGUGUGUGAAGAAGGCCUUUUGGUUGUAAAGCACUUUAAGCGAGGAGGAGGCUACUAGUAUUAAUACUACUGGAUAGUGGACGUUACUCGCAGAAUAAGCACCGACUAACUCUGUGCCAGCCGCCGCAGUAA
rnacentral:rRNA from 1 species